GCUUUUCUCUCCCAUCUGGCUCCACUUAUUUAUUUAUUUAGACUAGAAAAAGCCAGUCGGCUUGGAGGGAGUCCGCCCAGAGACCUGAGUGAGCACUGAUCAGUGUCGAGAGAAAAAAAAAAGCGCUACAUAAAUAUAUAUUAUGUGGAUAAAUCUGUAGACAGGAGCUCUAGCUCCCGCGCUCUCUGUUUCUGUCUCUGCUUUCCCCCUUCUCUCAUUCCCAAUCUGCCAGAGCAGCCCCCAAAUUUCUCCUUCCUAUUCUGCAUCCACCGACACCGGAUCCACCUGGGAGGAUAGGGCUAGGAGAGCAACCGGGGCCGCGCCGGGGGCUCACGGAGUAGAAUUCGGCUUGGUUCUCCGCCCCAGCCCUCUGAGAAGGCGGGAGGGAAUGUUUCAGUCCCGGACGACUUCUCCGGUCCGGACAGUGGCAGCCAGUGCGGCCGGUAGCUGGAGGGAGGAAGGCUUGAGGAUUUCCACCAGGAGGAAAUAGAAAACAGGAAGCAAUGCAAGCCGCCGCCGCCACCGGCUGAGAAGUGGGGAUGAACUCACUGCGAGAUACUAUCCCCUGGGGAUGGAAACAUUCAGGCAGCACAAAGCUGUAUCCCUGCUUCAGUCUUCUGGGGUCCUGCCCUGUGUACCUGCUGCUAGCACUCUGGCCCCUUCUUCUUACCUGAGAGGUGUUACAGAAGAGAUGCUCUUCACCUACCUUCUCCUCUGACUCCAGUGUCUACAAAACUAAAUCUUCGGAAUCAACUGGUGAUCAGCCCAAGCAUAUUUCUACUAUGUAUUUUCUACAUGCCUGGAUACAAUUCUGCUACUGAAAAGCACAAGAAAGCACAGAUCAAUGACCAUGACUCUGGAAUCUCGGCCCCUGGGCUCUGUCUCAAUGUGCUUCAUUCACGCUGGGGCUUCUGCUGGCUACAAUUCCCAGAUGUGGAUCUGGGAAUUCCUACAGACCUAAAGUCAGUCUUGGUCUCCACCCCUGAGUGUCACGUGGCUCUUUGCCUUCCAAGCAUUCUCAAGCUCGUCUUUGGUGGUUUUCUCAUAAAACUAUCAAGAAUGUGCAUGCUCCAUUUUUCAAAUGACAACCUGGCUGGAUGUAUAGGCCAAACCUACCUAACCCUCAAACUCCUUCCCUCAAGUCCGCUGACUCAGCUCCUGGAACUGGGUUUCUGAGUCUUCUCUGGUGCCACCGUCCAUUUCUUUGGAAUGGACAGAAUGAUGUCCUGAAAUCCAGGCCACUUGGGUUUGCCUUGAGUCCUUCAUCAGGGCUUUGAAGGUGGAAUAUUUAAACUUCUGAUAAACUCCAAAGAAGUUGACCUUUCAAUCAGCACUGCUUUUUCUGGAGUCUUCUCCCACUAUACAAAUAGUCAUGCCAAAGACCUAGAAUGACCACUACUACUGUGCCUGGAAAGGCUAGACAAGAGUUUCUUGGACUCCAUGAUGACGACUGCUCUGACAAUUUAUCGGUUUGCUCUAGCCAGGUGGAGAUCUUGAUGGUGACCCAACAGAAGUCCCCGUCAUCUUUGUUGAUUGAUGAUUUGGUGUCCCAUCCCUUUGCCACCUUACUUAUCUAUCUCCAAAUUUCUAUGGACUCUUGUGGUGGAGAUAAUUCAGAUGGAUAUCAUCUCCCGGCAUCUUAGGCUUGAGGAAGGUGGUGAAAUGAAGGUCCUUGGCGGAGGGGUCAAGGUGGACCACCUCACAUGGCCUCACCUCACCUCUGUGGAGCUGGAAGGUAAAUAUGCCGAGGCACUCACUCAGCAAGGCACGCAGGCCCUCUGCCCGAAAUGAAGACUCAGUUUGUCAGAAGAGACCUUAUUGCCUGUUGGUAGGCCCAACCCUCCUACCUGUAAUUACUUUCUAUGGAUUUGCCAGAUCUAAACUGCUAGAUGUUGCAUGGAUUUUUCUGUGGAGAAAUGGGACAAAUAUUCCUUCACUCCAGGUAGGGCACCUAUGGCAGGUGAAAGAAGAGUCCAUCUAGGUCCCACUUAGUGAUACAGCAAAUUCUGUAGGGGUUAUCUACAGAAGCGUGAGUGACUCAUGGGCAGCUGUACCAACAGAGAAACCCUCCCCAGCAUGGCUGAUGACUCAGGAGAGCUGCAUCAUUGGAGAUCCCUGUACAACCUGCAGCCAGCUCCAAUGCGAGAAGAACCUCAUUCCCCAGCAAUUGUUACUGCUUAUAUAACCUUGGGAAGGGCCCCCAAAGCAUACUGAGCCUUGUAAAUUUCGUUUAUUUCUGAGUCUUAGGACUCUCUCUCCUCCCUCAAGGAUGGAAUGCUUUGCUUUGGAGGAGACUGCUACACAACACAAGUAUACCGUGUAGUCCCACCUAGUCUUUCCAUAAGAUACCGUCCUUGUGAGGUGUUAUUCUAGUGUGCUGGCUAGUUUUAUGUCAACAUGACACAAGCUAGAGUCAUCUGAGAGGAGAGAGCCUCAGUUGAGAAAAUGCCCCCAUAAGAUUAGGCUAUAGGAACUAGGUGGU